CUAAUUUGACAAUCUCAAAGGACGCCCCCAAUUGCUCUCUCUCUCUCUCUGACAUCCUCCGUUCUCAUCGGCAACGAUCAUCUCCAAAUUCCGCUUCUCUCCAGUGAUGUUCUUCUCCGAAUUCCUGAAAUCCGGAAUCCCUAGAACGGGUGGUGGUUCUCAGCUCUUGUUCUACGUGUUGCAAAAGCCUGAUCGAUGACCCUGACGACUUCGCAGGAGCCGAUCCCAAUCCCUACAUGGUUCCUCAUCUUGAGUGAAUCUUUUGAGCUGCAGGAGCACUUUGGAUAGAGGAUUAAUCCCGGAUCAAAGAUGAAAUGGUGGGAGCUGCAUUGAAGGAGUUUGCUCUUCAUCUGUAAUUCAAAUAAGCCACCAUCAUUGCUGGAAUACCUCCAAGAAAGUUUUAUGGGAUGAGGCCGGAUUAUCACAUCAUCAUGGUGGUGGACACUGGAGCAUUUACAUGGUCACAAGUUGUUGUACUUGAAAGCAUCGUCAUGUUUACAGGGUAAAAAUCCUACAGCCAAUCCUAUAACAUCUUUCAUACAUUAGGAAUCACAACUAACAAAACAAUCGUCUUCCAUCUGCCCAGCACCCUUCUGGAUUCGAAUCCAAGAACUCGAGGGACACAAAAGAGGAAAACGUUGAGACAUCAUGCUUGUGAUUGAGAAGAAUUGAUUCCUCGUCUCUCUCCCCAUCCUCCUUACUAGACGUUAUCCCUCUGCACUGGCAGCUCUUGCGGAUACGGUUGUUCUCCCUCUGAUUGAACGGGAAAAGUUAAACCAAAUGGAAGCAAAGAGGAUUUCUUUCAUAGUCAAGGAGCAUCAUCCACAGAUAAGAAGCACUAUUGCAGGUAAGUUCAUCACUGUUUCCAUAUGGUGGCUGUUCAAAUGAGUGAACAUAACCGUAUACCCAUGAUUGAUUUAUCAUUUUCAGGCAAGUUCAUCACUGUUUCUAUAUGGAGACUGUUCAAAUGAGUGAAUAUAACCACAUACCCAUGAUUGAUUUGUCAUUUUCAGACAUUAUAGUGGUUUAAAGCCGUCCAAAAAAUGUGCCCACGAAAUUCAAUUAUAACAGUUUUAUCCGUA